rnacentral:rRNA from 1 species
GACGAACGCUGGCGGCGUGCUUAACACAUGCAAGUCGAACGGAAAGGCCCCUUUGGGGGUCCUCGAGUGGCGAACGGGUGAGUAACACGUGCGUAACCUGCCCUUGACUUCGGGAUAACUUCAGGAAACUGGGGCUAAUACCGGCUAGGAAUCCUUGCUGCAUGGUGGGGGUUGGAAAGCUUCGGGGGUUUUGGAUGGACUCGCGGCUUAUCAGCUUGUUGGUGGGGUAGUGGCUUACCAAGGCUUUGACGGGUAGCCGGCCUGGGAGGGCGACCGGCCACAUUGGGACUGAGAUACGGCCCAGACUCCUACGGGAGGCAGCAGGGGGGAAUAUUGCACAAUGGGCGGGAGCCUGAUGCAGCAACGCCGCGUGCGGGAUGACGGCCUUCGGGUUGUAAACCGCUUUCAGCAGGGGCGAAGCUUGUGGUGACGGUACCUGCAGAAGAAGCACCGGCUAACUACGUG